ACUUAUUUAGUAUAUAAGUAUAUUUGACUUCCAAUCAAAUGGUCUGAAUAAUUCAGAAUAAGUA
rnacentral:tRNA from 1 species